GAAAUUUUGUAUGCACGUCGUGCCACAGAUAAGAAAUAAAAAUUCAUAAUGUUUCGUGUCACAACACUUGUAAUAAAUUCACACGAAGCCAUUAAAGUCGCGAGGUGGAAGAAGCGCUAAAUCGGCCACGGCCACCAACAUCCGACUUUAUCAACAAGGAAUUAUGCACAAAGACGUAACUUUAUAUUUUAUAACUGGUGCCUAUACGCCCGUAGAUACGUCAAAAGACUAACAAAUGCACAAAACGACUGCUCAAAGAUUUUUAUGGCGAAGAAACAGAUAGUGACUACGGUUAACUAAGCGCGUUGUACACUCAUACGUAAUGUUUCGCGCACAGAAUUCACGGUACGUAAGUAAAAGUGUUACAACUGAAUAUAAAUACAUUCAAGUGACAGAAAUCAAGAAAAACAAUUAAAUAUUCAAUAUGAAUUGCAAAGUUAAAAACGUUUGCGAAAAUUAAGCAACUUUUCGGACGCAUUCAAAGGAGCGUACAGAUGGCAGCAUGUGUAAAAAUAGUUUCCGAAUUUGACUGCUGAUGGCGUGGUGUUUCAGACAGGUAAAUCAAUAAACCUCCUACGCAGCGAUUGGCUGACAUCAGGGCACACAAACUCACGAACUCUUACGGAGAAAAAACUAAACUGAAAAUUACGUGUUUCGAUUUGAUUGGCUAGACCUGUGUAUCAGCUUUCAAAUACGUGAGAUCGAUGUCAGCCCCGGAAGUGAAAGUCAGUCGUCAUUGAAUUUUGUCGAGAGGCAGUGCAGUCUCCGUGAUUUAAUGUUAGCCUAGGAAUUUAGCUAAGAAGUGAAGACGAGAGGACGGUUCCCUUCCAGUGACGUAUGCAAGAUGGAGACAUUUCACCUUUGGUCUAAUGUAUGUGUACGUGUGAAUUGCAGAGAUGUGACAUUAAACUCCGUGAAUCAACUUUCGACAUUACACGUCUGCACAAAAGAGGAGUGUGUUUCCUAUUGUGACAGCCAAGUAAACUCCACAUGUACCUGAUUCACAGGGGUUGGACGUGUCUAAAUGUGACGUUUGUGUGCAAAUGUAUGCAUAUAUAUAUUUCUGACAAGACGAAUCUUUGUAACAUCUGGAUACAUUAUAGAAUAAACUUUUGA